rnacentral:rRNA from 1 species
UACGUAGGGUGCGAGCGUUUGUCCGGAAUUAUUGGGCGUAAAGGGCUCGUAGGCGGUUUGUCGCGUCGGGAGUGAAAUCCACUGGCUUAACUGGUGGCUUGCUUUCGAUACGGGCAGACUGGAGGUAUGCAGGGGAGAACGGAAUUCCUGGUGUAGCGGUGAAAUGCGCAGAUAUCAGGAGGAACACCGGUGGCGAAGGCGGUCUCUGGGCCGAUACUGACGCUGAGGAGCGAAAGCGUGGGGAGCGAACAGG